CAGUCGUACCUAUGGGCAAUCAGCCUUUUGGGUGUGAUUUUGUGGAGCGUGAGGAGUUAAACGCCUUCAUGCCUGCAUAUUCGUGCACUUUGGGUGUACUUGCCCGUGUGUAAGUUAACAUCAAUUUUGGUGGUCAUAAAAUGGCUGGAGGAAUGUAGCUUCGAUCUUGUAUUGAAGUGUUAAGUCUUCGGGUAAUGUGACGAUCGGGGAUUGAGGAUUGCAACGGAUACCCUUCGGGGCUACCUGU
rnacentral:rRNA from 1 species